rnacentral:lncRNA from 1 species
AAUUGGCCUUCACAACAUCAAUUUUUCACUGGAGACUUGGUUUGGAAAAGAAAUCUUAGUAAAAACAUUACGAGUGGUGCCAGAAGGUGUCAAAAGGGAAAGCUAUUCUGGUGUUACUUUGGAUCCUAGGGGUAUUUAUGGUACCAUUAGCAGACGAAAGGAGUUCCCAUACAGGAUACCCUUAGAUUUGGUCCCCAAAACAGAAAUCAAAAGGAUUUUGAGUGUAAAAGGACUGCUUGUAGGUGAGAUCUUGUCUGCAGUUCUAAGUCAGGAAGGCAUCAAUAUCCUAACCCACCUCCCCAAAGGGAGUGCAGAGGCGGAGCUGAUGAGCGUUGUCCCAGUAUUCUAUGUUUUUCACUACCUGGAAACAGGAAAUCAUUGGAACAUUUUUCAUUCUGACCCAUUAAUUGAAAAGCAGAA